CAUUUUUCCCGAAAGUGAAUUCCUGGAUGGUGGCUCUGAGUAUGAUCUUAGUGGUUUUGUUUGGUUUCAUUGGCCUCACUGUUUAUCUCUUUAAAAUGAAAGGGAAACUUACUGAAGAAGUUGGCAAACAAGAUAUAGAAAUUGACCAACGAGAUAACGAAAUAAGUAA